AAAUAACUAUAAAAUCAAUUUAAAGUAACUAAAAACUUCAAUGAAAAUCAUAACGAAAUAUAUUUAAAUGAAAUACAAAGCUCUUUGAUUAACAACAUUUUCUUUACUUAUUAGUGCACGGUAAAUAUUUUCUUUAAUUUAAGGAGAUACAAUUACUAAUGUUUAUAAAAGCUAAGCCAACAAUAACAUUUCUCAAUUAACCGUAAAUGUACAAUUUGCCUUGCCACUCAAUUACUUUGAUUUUCUUUGGCAGCUUAUUAAAUGUCAUAUUUAGCAUGCCCAGGAGCAGGUCGAAAGUCUCUGGCACUCUGGAAAUGUUGAUGUUUGCACGGACGAAACACCUUGGAGCCGAGGAAAACCACCUGACCCCGGCCAGAUCAUCUAAUUGAAUGACAAUAUUAUGCCAAGGCCUAAUUCAAUUUGCGUUGCUUGGGAAUCGCUGCAGGUCCUACGUUGAUCCUGCUGCCUAAUUACAGGGUAAUCAGCCUUUCAGCCGUAGUGGCUACUGAAUGAUGAUUGAUUGAGGCGUGUGUAGGAGUGACAUCUGCCGAUGCGCGUGCCAAACAAAAGAAGGCGAGGAAAGUGCAAACAGCAGCUGAAAUGGAUAUGGAAAGCAGCAUCAGCGCAGCCAAGGAAAAAGCAAAUCGAAAACUGAUUUGGAGCGGAAGUUCGUUUGCACCUUUCUGCAGUUUCCUGUAUAUUUGCCGCCGCCGCCGCCGCCGCCGCCGCCGCCGUCGUUAGAACAAUAAAAACACACACAAGCUGCGGAAUCCAACAGCCACUUCCAUUGCAUAUCAACAAUCGCAAUCAGAAUCGUCGAGUGUUCUAUAAAGUACGAAUACCUUGACUUGUCUUGGCCUUUGACGCCGUCUUUUGUACCAAGAGAGUUGAGAUGGAUGGAUGGAUGAAGUCGUCGCCCGUUGGCUUUUGAAUGAGCUGCAAAUCAAAAGCUAUAUACGAUUUCACACAAGUAUGGAUUAAGGAUAUGCGUGAGCACGCAGAGAAAUAAUGCGAUACUUUUGAGU